GUAAGGAAUAUUGGACAAUGGCCGCAAGGCUGAUCCAGCCAUGCCGCGUGCAGGAAGAAGGCGCUAUGCGUCGUAAACUGCUUUUACACCGGAGAAAACCCCCUUUCGUGAAAGGGGCUGAUAGUAUGGUGAGAAUAAGCAUCGGCUAACUUCGUGCCAGCAGCCGCGGUAAGACGAAGGAUGCAAGCGUUAUCCGGAUUCAUUGGGUUUAAAGGGAGCGUAGGUGGUCUUAUAAGUCAGUGGUGAAAUCUUCUCGCUUAACGGGAAAACUGCCAUUGAUACUGUAGGACUUGAGUAUAGUUGCUGUGGGCGGAAUAUGACAUGUAGUGGUGAAAUACUUAGAGAUGUCAUAGAACACCGAUUGCGAAGGCAGCUCACAAAACUAUAACUGACACUGAGGCUCGAAAGUGCGGGGAUCAAACAGGAUUAGAAACCCUGGUAGUCC
rnacentral:rRNA from 1 species